rnacentral:lncRNA from 1 species
AUGAGGGAGAACCUGGCUCUCACACUCUCCCCCUCUGUUCCCCGGGGAGGCCAGGGCAGGGGCUCACAGGAAACUGGGGGUGGGAGCCAAGCGCUGAGGCAGUUCUGCCUGAAACCUUCCCCCCAGAAGCCUUCUUUCAGUCCCACUUUCCCCAUGGAACUCUCUCAGGAAAGAAGGUGGGUGGCAAGAGGACUGCAAAGGCUCUGGAAGGAAGGAAUGCACCUUGAAAAUCCAGCAAUCAAAUGGAAACCCAGCCCCACUGCUCCACGCUCCCCGGCCUCAAUUACCAGCCAGCUACAGAACGUGGGGGAUGGGACGGGGAGGGGGGGGGAGACCAGAACAAUCGCCCCCCGCCCCAGUCAUGUUGGGCCGGCCCUGCCCCACCCCCAUUCCUGGGGAGGGGGGCAGGGUCGGGAGAGAGCCUCCGGGGCAGGCCUCUGGCGAGGGGGUGUGGUGGUCCCCGGAGGCAGGAAGAGAAGGAAGAAGCUGCUUCCCCUUUGGCCCACCCCCCACCCCGGCCCCCACCUCAGGCCCCAGGGGCCUAGCAAACAGGAUGGAGGUGGGGGCAGGGAGGACGGGGUCAGAGCACAGGCACUGGGCCAGGUUCGGCCAGGCCGGCUGGGGGGGGGGAGGCUUUGCUCUGAGAAGGACCCCCGUAAGCCUGGGGGAAGCCCCGGGCCGGGAGGCAGGAGAACCCCCAGAGUGAGAUGCCAUGAAUACUUCCUCCUGGAAAGUUUGUUUGGGGUGAUUUUUCCGCCAAGAAGAGGUUACAGAGGAAGGGUAGUCCUGUUCGCUUAUCCACACGCUGGAAGCCCAGGCUACUGGCAACUGGGCGGGGGAAAUCUCCACUCGUACACGACCCCUCCGCCCAGAACCCCAGUGCGAGCCACGGGUGCCAGACACCGGCUGGGCGCGGAGCGGGGCCCUACACCAGUCCCAUUGCCACCCAACCCCGCCUCCGCUGGCGGAGCCGUCGCCUGGCACCCAUGGGAGCGGAGCUUUGGGAGGUCUCGCAGAUUGAAGGUUACUUCCUCCUGAUUGGGCAAGGAACUGUCAGUAAGACUAAGGAAAGAACCAAUGGAAGAGAUGGGGUGUGUCUUGCCCCACCCUCCCUCGGAGCAGGUAAGACUGAUUACUGUCCCCUUCCCCCUACCUGUCCAACAGGUGAGUCAGGGGGUGCCAUGGGAAAGGACAGACGCCUUCACUGGCUAGCUAGCCAACUCAGCGUCAGGGGAUGAUGCUUCUUUAUGCUUAUUCACCCUUGCCACAAAGUGGUAAUAACAUAUUACUAAAACAUUUCAUAGGCUUUUUUCUGGGUUGGAAUUUUUUUCUCCAAAGAUGGAGUGCUCAUGAAAUUUAGAAUUAAAAGGCCUGGAUUUGGGUUCUAUUACUUAGAAGCUAUAUGAUCUUAGGCAAGUCAUCUUUCACUCUGUUUCUCCACAUCUGUAAAAUGGGUACAUUAGCUAUAUCUCUCAUGGGAGUGAAGGAAGUUUUGUAAAAUCACUUGAACAACUGCUAAGUCUUAGAAUUUUAAAUUAAUGAUAUGUGUGUGUAUGUUUUAAUUCUCAUGACAGUUCUGAAAAAAAUUGUUAGGGCAAAAAAAUGAUCCUCCUUUCAAAGAUGAGGAAACAGCUUCAGAGAGAUCACCAAACUAGAAAGUGACAAAUCCUAAACUAGAACCCCUUUCUCUUCUAAUUCCAAAGCCCAUCAAACCACAUUCUUCCAGUGGGAUAACAGCAUAACCAUAAAAUGCCAAAGCAGCGAGAGGGGCUGGGAAAAAGCAAAAACAAAUUCGCUGGUGAGAGACAAAAGAGCAGUGAUUUGUGACAAAGAGAAAGUCUCAGUAUUUAAAUCAACUAUACUUCAAUAAAAUUAAAACAAAUUUUUUAAGUUUAAAACA